rnacentral:rRNA from 1 species
GACGAACGCUGGCGGCGUGCUUAACACAUGCAAGUCGAACGGAAAGGCCCUGCUUUUGUGGGGUGCUCGAGUGGCGAACGGGUGAGUAACACGUGAGUAACCUGCCCCUGACUUUGGGAUAACUUCAGGAAACUGGGGCUAAUACCGGAUAGGAGCUCCUGCUGCACGGUGGGGGUUGGAAAGUUUCGGCGGUUGGGGAUGGACUCGCGGCUUAUCAGCCUGUUGGUGGGGUAGUGGCUUACCAAGGGUUUGACGGGUAGCCGGCCUGAGAGGGGUACCGGCCACAUUGGGACUGAGAUACGGACCAGACUCCUACGGGAGGCAGCAGUGGGGAAUAUUGCACAAUGGGCGGAAGCCUGAUGCAGCAACGCCGCGUGCGGGAUGACGGCCUUCGGGUUGUAAACCGCUUUCGCCUGUGACGAAGCGUGAGUGACGGUAAUGGGUAAAGAAGCACCGGCUAACUACGUG